CAGCUGUUUGCAUGGCUUGAAAUGCUUUAGACUCUCAGCAGGACAUCAGGCUGUGGGACAAUUUUUGCUCGAGUUUGCUGAGGACCUCAAGAUCCAGCCCUCAUCCUUGGCUCAUACUUCAGCUAGCCUGUUUUCCCCAAAUCACUCUACAUAUCAUCUUCAGCUAAUCAUCAGUCUCUGCCUGUGUAGAAGAUCAAAAACAACACUCCAUAAGGACAGCUUGGCAUCUGACUUGGCGCUGAUGAAGGACGAGUACAACUUGGUGGUUAAGCCUGUGGGCUCUGUGAGGACCACCGGGGUCCAAAUUAUUGCUUUGCACCUUCCUUGACGUGCAUCUUUGGGUGUGUUACAUUAUCCCUCCAAGCCCUGGUCCCCUCAUCUGCAAACAAGGCAUGGAAAUGCUAAUAGUUAACUUUUAGAGUGUCUGUACAUGUUAAGGAAAAUAAGUAUUGGGAGGAAAAUAUCUGAAAUAUUUUUUCAAAACUUGGAUAGAGGAUGACUUUCCAAUCAAAGCAGACUGUAAACCCAGAACCCACAAAGAAAAAGAUAAAUGCGCGUGAUACGUUGAAAAAAACAAACACCAAACGUAUGGCCAAAGAACAAAACAAAAUAAGAAACCAAACUGUAGACUGGGGAAUUUUUUUGUAACACAUAUGAUAGAAAAAGUAGUAAUAUUCCUAAGAUGCAAAAACCUCCCAUAAACUGAGCAGAAACAGAUAAACCACUCAAUAGAAAAAUGGACAAAUGCUAUGAGUAGGCUCCUCACCAAAGAGGGGAUCCAAAUGGUCAGUGGGCAUCCAAAAGGAUGCUCACGGACAUGCAAAUCGAAGCUAAAAUGAGACACCAUUUUUUUUAACCCAUUAGAUUGGGAAAAAAACUGAAAAAGAGAAAAUAUCGGAAACUGACAAAAAUGUGAGGAAGGAAACCCUCUCAUAUAUGUCUGGUGGGGAUAUGAAAUGUGACAACAAGUAGUACUGGAAACAAUUUAAAUACGUGUUAAAAAUAAACUACACACAGUUUUUUACCUAGCAACCUUACAUUUAAG
ensembl:lncRNA